CUCCCAGGUCUCCGUAGAUGGUCAGGAAGACGUUGGCAUCGGUGCCUGCGUCGUAAACAUCGCCCGUCAUCACAGACACUUUGAACCAGGCAGCAUGAGGUUGGCUGUUGUCGUGACGAAUCCUCAGCUUCUUCAGAAUGCCCAGAUCGAUGGCCUGCAUGGAGAACACGUCCUCCUGAAUCCCGCAGUAAAACCAUGGGAAAAGUCAGAGGUCAAAGGCAUGAUUCAAAGGUCUCCGGGGUCCUCGGGUAGGAGCUCCACCACGAUCUCCCCGUCCUCCUCGUCGCGGGCCAGCCAGCGAUGACAGGGGAACGUCACGCUCUCUACCACUUCCUGGAGCUCCGUCACGUACUCCUCCUCCUCAUCCUCCUCUUUCUUCUUCUUUUUAUUCUUCUUCUUGUCCUUCUUGUCAUCCUUCGGUUUCUCCUUCACCACUUCCCUCUGUACCAUGGCCAUAGUGAGCCGCUUGAUGUCCACCGUCUCAAGGAACCACCCGUCGCUCACGCCUGAACCAUCGUGCCCGAUGCGGAUUUUGAAUAAUUUGCCCACGUUCAGCGCCUCGAUCUGGGGGUUGAGAGACAGGAAGACAGGUCAAUGGUGGUUAUUUUUAAUUGAAUUGAUUAGGAUCCUCAUUAGUCGACAUGGUAUAACAUCACUGGUUUGAUCAAGGAUGUUAGGAGUCAAAACAAGAUAUUGUUUUCAGAUAAACACAUCAGAUGUGCCACUCGGUCAUGAAAUAAACUCUAUUCAACUCUCCACUGUAACAAGAAAGAAAUUA